UUAUCUCUGUAGAGUCUGCAUAUCAAUAAGCGGAGGAAAAGAAACUAACUAGGAUUCCCUCAGUAACGGCGAGUGAAGCGGGAAGAGCUCAAAUUUGAAAUCUUCAAGGUUUUACCUUGACGAAUUGUAGUUUAAAGAAGUGUUUUCUGUUGGAGUUUUGGUAAAAGUUCUUUGGAAUAGGACAUCAUAGAGGGUGAGAAUCCCGUAUUUGACCAUUAUUUCCAGCUUUGUGAUACACUUUCAAAGAGUCGGAUUGUUUGGGAAUGCAGUCCAAAAUGGGUGGUAAAUUUCAUCUAAAGCUAAAUAUUGGCGAGAGACCGAUAGCGAACAAGUACCGUGAGGGAAAGAUGAAAAGAACUUUGAAAAGAGAGUUAAACAGUACGUGAAAUUGUCAAAAGGGAAGCGUUUGACACCAGUGUUGUUUUCUCGAAAAUCAAUUAAAAAAGGCAGGAUUUUGUGUUGUAUUGACUUUAUCAGCUUUCUGCACUCUUUUCUUGUCUUUUUUAAUGCACUUUUCGUUUAACAAGUCAACAUCAAUUUCUUUUGUUGUAAAAGGGUCAUUGGAAGGUGGCUUUCUUUUCGGAGAAAGUGUUUAUAGCCUUUGGCCUCUGCAAUCGGAGAGAUUGAGGUCUGCAGCGUAGAUCCUUCGGGGUUAGAUACAUUUGUGCUAAGUUAUAGCCUUUCAUAGACAACUUGUUGACUAUGAUCAGUCAUGUAGCUUACUCGCUUAUGUUAUUUUACCUACGCUUAGGAUGUUGACGAUCAGCUGAGCGCG
rnacentral:rRNA from 1 species